GUGAGGAAUAUUGGUCAAUGGCCGAGAGGCUGAACCAGCCAAGUCGCGUGAGGGAAGACGGCCCUACGGGUUGUAAACCUCUUUUGUCGGGGAGCAAAGCGAGUCACGUGUGACUCAUUGAGAGUACCCGAAGAAAAAGCAUCGGCUAACUCCGUGCCAGCAGCCGCGGUAAUACGGAGGAUGCGAGCGUUAUCCGGAUUUAUUGGGUUUAAAGGGUGCGCAGGCGGAGGUGCAAGUCAGCGGUCAAAUUGCGGGGCUCAACCCCGUACUGCCGUUGAAACUGCAUCCCUUGAGUGCGCGAGAAGUAUGCGGAAUGCGUGGUGUAGCGGUGAAAUGCAUAGAUAUCACGCAGAACUCCGAUUGCGAAGGCAGCAUACCGGCGCGCAACUGACGCUCAUGCACGAAAGCGUGGGUAUCGAACAGG
rnacentral:rRNA from 1 species